UGCGUAUUUCGCGCAGGCGGAGCUCGACCGCCGCUGACGGACGUCGACGCGUUCAUCGAGGAGCACCGCGAUGAACACGGGGUCGAGCCGAUCUGCACCACCUUGGCCGAGGCCGGGAUCCAGAUCGCCCCG
rfam:Janibacter hoylei PVAS-1 Contig117, whole genome shotgun sequence.